AGCAGCCGCGGUAAUUCCAGCUCCAAUAGCGUAUAUUAAAGUUGUUGCAGUUAAAAAGCUCGUAGUUGAAUUUCGGGAUCAAUAUGUUGGUCGUGCCUUGGUACGUACUGGCGUCAUUGGUUUCUACCUUCUGAAGAACCUCGAUGUCAUUAAUUUGGUGUCUUGGGGAAUCAGGACUGUUACUUUGAAAAAAUUAGAGUGUUUAAAGCAAGCUCACGCUUGAAUACAUUAGCAUGGAAUAAUGAAAUAGGACGUUUGAUUCUAUUUUGUUGGUUUCUAGGAUCGACGUAAUGAUUAAUAGGGAUAGUUGGGGGCAUUAGUAUUCAAUUGUCAGAGGUGAAAUUCUUGGAUUUAUUGAAGACUAACUACUGCGAAAGCAUUUGCCAAGGAUGUUUUCAUUAAUCAAGAACGAAAGUUAGGGGAUCGAAGACGAUCAGAUACCGUCGUAGUCUUAACCAUAAACUAUGCCGACUAGGGAUCGGAUGAUGUUAAUUUUUAAUGACUCAUUCGGCGCCUUAAC
rnacentral:misc_RNA from 1 species